rnacentral:rRNA from 1 species
AUACAUGCAGUCGACGCUUCUUUUUCCACCGGAGCUUGCUCCACCGGAAAAAGAGGAGUGGCGAACGGGUGAGUAACACGUGGGUAACCUGCCCAUCAGAAGGGGAUAACACUUGGAAACAGGUGCUAAUACCGUAUAACAAUCGAAACCGCAUGGUUUUGAUUUGAAAGGCGCUUUCGGGUGUCGCUGAUGGAUGGACCCGCGGUGCAUUAGCUAGUUGGUGAGGUAACGGCUCACCAAGGCGACGAUGCAUAGCCGACCUGAGAGGGUGAUCGGCCACAUUGGGACUGAGACACGGCCCAAACUCCUACGGGAGGCAGCAGUAGGGAAUCUUCGGCAAUGGACGAAAGUCUGACCGAGCAACGCCGCGUGAGUGAAGAAGGUUUUCGGAUCGUAAAACUCUGUUGUUAGAGAAGAACAAGGAUGAGAGUAACUGUUCAUCCCUUGACGGUAUCUAACCAGAAAGCCACGGCUAACUACGUGCCAGCAGCCGGCCGGGUAAUAAA